AAGGCUUCGGCUGAUAGGAUCUUUGUUGAAGAUUCAGGGGGACAUGAAGAUCUACCAACCGAGAUUGCUUUGCCUAAUGAAGAAUGGGAGAACCUCCUGCAGCAAGAUAAAAAGAGGAGUGGUGAGGAAAGCAAGAAGAAAGGUAAGACCUGAAGCAAAACUGAAAGCAUUCGGACAAGAGCCAUGAUGGAGUCCCUUGGUAGAAAGGGGAGUAAUUCUACCAACCUUCCGGAUUCUCAAUGAAGUGCGUUAUCUGGAAUGUCCGUGGAAUGAAUAAAAGAAGUAGACAGAGGGUAAUAAGAUCUCUUAUUAGAUCUCAGAAAGUGGACUUGGUGGUCUUUCAGAUGAAAAGUGCCACUCGGGGAUAAAUCCGAAGCCUCGAUAUCCAACCACCCGCAAUCUGUCGGCCUAGCUCCCUACUGAACAGGGCGUGAAGAUCUCUGACC
rnacentral:lncRNA from 1 species